rnacentral:rRNA from 1 species
GAUGAACGCUGGCGGCGUGCCUAAUACAUGCAAGUCGAGCGAACGGACGAGAAGCUUGCUUUUCUGAUGUUAGCGGCGGACGGGUGAGUAACACGUGGAUAACCUACCUAUAAGACUGGGAUAACUUCGGGAAACCGGAGCUAAUACCGGAUAAUAUUUUGAACCGCAUGGUUCAAAAGUGAAAGACGGUCUUGCUGUCACUUAUAGAUGGAUCCGCGCUGCAUUAGCUAGUUGGUAAGGUAACGGCUUACCAAGGCAACGAUGCAUAGCCGACCUGAGAGGGUGAUCGGCCGCACUGGAACUGGGACACGGUCCAGACUCCUACGGGAGGCAGCAGUAGGGAAUCUUCCGCAAUGGGCGAAAGCCUGACGGAGCAACGCCGCGUGAGUGAUGAUGGUCUUCGGAUCGUAAAACUCUGUUAUUAGGGAAGAACAUAUGUGUAAGUAACUGUGCACAUCUUGACGGUACCUAAUCAGAAAGCCACGGCUAACUACGUG